GGAUGGAUGCCCGAGUGGUUUAAGGGACCGGUCUUGAAAACCGGCGUAUCGCAAGGUACCGUGGGUUCGAAUCCCUCUCCAUCCG
rnacentral:tRNA from 1 species